rnacentral:rRNA from 1 species
GGUUAAGUUAGAAAGGGCGCACGGUGGAUGCCUUGACACUAGGAGUCGAUGAAGGACGGGACUAACGCCGAUAUGCUUCGGGGAGCUGUAAGUAAGCUUUGAUCCGAAGAUUUCCGAAUGGGGAAACCCACCAUACGUAAUGGUAUGGUAUCCUUAUCUGAAUACAUAGGGUAAGGAAGACAGACCCAGGGAACUGAAACAUCUAAGUACCUGGAGGAAGAGAAAGCAAAUGCGAUUUCCUGAGUAGCGGCGAGCGAAACGGAACAUAGCCCAAACCAAGAGGCUUGCCUCUUGGGGUUGUAGGACAUUCUAUACGGAGUUACAAAGGAACGAGGUAGACGAAGCGACCUGGAAAGGUCCGUCGUAGAGGGUAACAACCCCGUAGUCGAAACUUCGUUCUCUCUUGAAUGUAUCCUGAGUACGGCGGAACACGUGAAAUUCCGUCGGAAUCUGGGAGGACCAUCUCCCAAGGCUAAAUACUCCCUAGUGAUCGAUAGUGAACCAGUACCGUGAGGGAAAGGUGAAAAGCACCCCGGAAGGGGAGUGAAAGAGAUCCUGAAACCGUGUGCCUACAAAUAGUCAGAGCCCGUUAACGGGUGAUGGCGUGCCUUUUGUAGAAUGAACCGGCGAGUUACGAUCCCGUGCGAGGUUAAGCUGAAGAGGCGGAGCCGCAGCGAAAGCGAGUCUGAAUAGGGCGUUUAGUACGUGGUCGUAGACCCGAAACCAGGUGAUCUACCCAUGUCCAGGGUGAAGUUCAGGUAACACUGAAUGGAGGCCCGAACCCACGCACGUUGAAAAGUGCGGGGAUGAGGUGUGGGUAGCGGAGAAAUUCCAAUCGAACCUGGAGAUAGCUGGUUCUCCCCGAAAUAGCUUUAGGGCUAGCCUUAAGUGUAAGAGUCUUGGAGGUAGAGCACUGAUUGGACUAGGGGUCCUCAUCGGAUUACCGAAUUCAGUCAAACUCCGAAUGCCAAUGACUUAUCCUUAGGAGUCAGACUGCGAGUGAUAAGAUCCGUAGUCAAAAGGGAAACAGCCCAGACCGCCAGCUAAGGUCCCAAAGUGUGUAUUAAGUGGAAAAGGAUGUGGAGUUGCUUAGACAACUAGGAUGUUGGCUUAGAAGCAGCCACCAUUUAAAGAGUGCGUAAUAGCUCACUAGUCGAGUGACUCUGCGCCGAAAAUGUACCGGGGCUAAAUACACCACCGAAGCUGCGGAUUGAUACCAAUGGUAUCAGUGGUAGGGGAGCGUUCUAAGGACAGUGAAGUCAGACCGUAAGGACUGGUGGAGUGCUUAGAAGUGAGAAUGCCGGUAUGAGUAGCGAAAGACGGGUGAGAAUCCCGUCCACCGAAUGCCUAAGGUUUCCUGAGGAAGGCUCGUCCGCUCAGGGUUAGUCAGGACCUAAGCCGAGGCCGACAGGCGUAGGCGAUGGACAACAGGUUGAUAUUCCUGUACCACCUCUUUAUCGUUUGAGCAAUGGAGGGACGCAGAAGGAUAGAAGAAGCGUGCGAUUGGUUGUGCACGUCCAAGCAGUUAGGCUGAUAAGUAGGCAAAUCCGCUUAUCGUGAAGGCUGAGCUGUGAUGGGGAAGCUCCUUAUGGAGCGAAGUCUUUGAUUCCCCGCUGCCAAGAAAAGCUUCUAGCGAGAUAAAAGGUGCCUGUACCGCAAACCGACACAGGUAGGCGAGGAGAGAAUCCUAAGGUGUGCGAGAGAACUCUGGUUAAGGAACUCGGCAAAAUGACCCCGUAACUUCGGGAGAAGGGGUGCUUUCUUAACGGAAAGCCGCAGUGAAUAGGCCCAAGCGACUGUUUAGCAAAAACACAGCUCUCUGCGAAGCCGUAAGGCGAAGUAUAGGGGGUGACACCUGCCCGGUGCUGGAAGGUUAAGGAGAGGGGUUAGCGUAAGCGAAGCUCUGAACUGAAGCCCCAGUAAACGGCGGCCGUAACUAUAACGGUCCUAAGGUAGCGAAAUUCCUUGUCGGGUAAGUUCCGACCCGCACGAAAGGUGUAACGAUUUGGGCACUGUCUCAACCAGAGACUCGGUGAAAUUAUAGUACCUGUGAAGAUGCAGGUUACCCGCGACAGGACGGAAAGACCCCGUGGAGCUUUACUGUAGCCUGAUAUUGAAUUUUGGUACAGUUUGUACAGGAUAGGCGGGAGCCAUUGAAACCGGAGCGCUAGCUUCGGUGGAGGCGCUGGUGGGAUACCGCCCUGACUGUAUUGAAAUUCUAACCUACGGGUCUUAUCGACCCGGGAGACAGUGUCAGGUGGGCAGUUUGACUGGGGCGGUCGCCUCCUAAAGUGUAACGGAGGCGCCCAAAGGUUCCCUCAGAAUGGUUGGAAAUCAUUCGUAGAGUGCAAAGGCAUAAGGGAGCUUGACUGCGAGACCUACAAGUCGAGCAGGGACGAAAGUCGGGCUUAGUGAUCCGGUGGUUCCGCAUGGAAGGGCCAUCGCUCAACGGAUAAAAGCUACCCCGGGGAUAACAGGCUUAUCUCCCCCAAGAGUCCACAUCGACGGGGAGGUUUGGCACCUCGAUGUCGGCUCAUCGCAUCCUGGGGCUGUAGUCGGUCCCAAGGGUUGGGCUGUUCGCCCAUUAAAGCGGUACGCGAGCUGGGUUCAGAACGUCGUGAGACAGUUCGGUCCCUAUCCGUCGUGGGCGUAGGAAAUUUGAGAGGAGCUGUCCUUAGUACGAGAGGACCGGGAUGGACGCACCGCUGGUGUACCAGUUGUUCUGCCAAGGGCAUAGCUGGGUAGCUAUGUGCGGAAGGGAUAAGUGCUGAAAGCAUCUAAGCAUGAAGCCCCCCUCAAGAUGAGAUUUCCCAUAGCGUAAGCUAGUAAGAUCCCUGAAAGAUGAUCAGGUUGAUAGGUUCGAGGUGGAAGCAUGGUGACAUGUGGAGCUGACGAAUACUAAUAGAUCGAGGACU